GGAGAGAUGGCUGAGUGGUCGAAAGCACCGGUCUUGAAAACCGGCAAGGGUUUGUAGCCCUUCUAGGGUUCAAAUCCCUAUCUCUCCGCCA
rnacentral:tRNA from 21 species